UACAGGGGGUGCAAACGUUGCUCGGAAUCAUUGGGCGUAAAGAGCUCGUAGGCGGUUUGUCGCGUCUGCCGUGAAAGUCCGAGGCUCAACCUCGGAUCUGCGGUGGGUACGGGCAGACUAGAGUGAUGUAGGGGAGACUGGAAUUCCUGGUGUAGCGGUGAAAUGCGCAGAUAUCAGGAGGAACACCGAUGGCGAAGGCAGGUCUCUGGGCAUUAACUGACGCUGAGGAGCGAAAGCAUGGGGAGCGAACAGG
rnacentral:rRNA from 1 species